AAAUUGAAGAGUUUGAUCAUGGCUCAGAUUGAACGCUGGCGGCAGGCCUAACACAUGCAAGUCGAACGGUAACAGGAAACAGCUUGCUGUUUCGCUGACGAGUGGCGGACGGGUGAGUAAUGUCUGGGAAACUGCCUGAUGGAGGGGGAUAACUACUGGAAACGGUAGCUAAUACCGCAUAACGUCGCAAGACCAAAGAGGGGGACCUUCGGGCCUCUUGCCAUCGGAUGUGCCCAGAUGGGAUUAGCUAGUAGGUGGGGUAACGGCUCACCUAGGCGACGAUCCCUAGCUGGUCUGAGAGGAUGACCAGCCACACUGGAACUGAGACACGGUCCAGACUCCUACGGGAGGCAGCAGUGGGGAAUAUUGCACAAUGGGCGCAAGCCUGAUGCAGCCAUGCCGCGUGUAUGAAGAAGGCCUUCGGGUUGUAAAGUACUUUCAGCGGGGAGGAAGGGAGUAAAGUUAAUACCUUUGCUCAUUGACGUUACCCGCAGAAGAAGCACCGGCUAACUCCGUGCCAGCAGCCGCGGUAAUACGGAGGGUGCAAGCGUUAAUCGGAAUUACUGGGCGUAAAGCGCACGCAGGCGGUUUGUUAAGUCAGAUGUGAAAUCCCCGGGCUCAACCUGGGAACUGCAUCUGAUACUGGCAAGCUUGAGUCUCGUAGAGGGGGGUAGAAUUCCAGGUGUAGCGGUGAAAUGCGUAGAGAUCUGGAGGAAUACCGGUGGCGAAGGCGGCCCCCUGGACGAAGACUGACGCUCAGGUGCGAAAGCGUGGGGAGCAAACAGGAUUAGAUACCCUGGUAGUCCACGCCGUAAACGAUGUCGACUUGGAGGUUGUGCCCUUGAGGCGUGGCUUCCGGAGCUAACGCGUUAAGUCGACCGCCUGGGGAGUACGGCCGCAAGGUUAAAACUCAAAUGAAUUGACGGGGGCCCGCACAAGCGGUGGAGCAUGUGGUUUAAUUCGAUGCAACGCGAAGAACCUUACCUGGUCUUGACAUCCACAGAACUUUCCAGAGAUGGAUUGGUGCCUUCGGGAACUGUGAGACAGGUGCUGCAUGGCUGUCGUCAGCUCGUGUUGUGAAAUGUUGGGUUAAGUCCCGCAACGAGCGCAACCCUUAUUCUUUGUUGCCAGCGGUCCGGCCGGGAACUCAAAGGAGACUGCCAGUGAUAAACUGGAGGAAGGUGGGGAUGACGUCAAGUCAUCAUGGCCCUUACGACCAGGGCUACACACGUGCUACAAUGGCGCAUACAAAGAGAAGCGACCUCGCGAGAGUAAGCGGACCUCAUAAAGUGCGUCGUAGUCCGGAUUGGAGUCUGCAACUCGACUCCAUGAAGUCGGAAUCGCUAGUAAUCGUGGAUCAGAAUGCCACGGUGAAUACGUUCCCGGGCCUUGUACACACCGCCCGUCACACCAUGGGAGUGGGUUGCAAAAGAAGUAGGUAGCUUAACCUUCGGGAGGGCGCUUACCACUUUGUGAUUCAUGACUGGGGUGAAGUCGUAACAAGGUAACCGUAGGGGAACCUGCGGUUGGAUCACCUCCUUA
rnacentral:rRNA from 1 species